AUUGAACGCUGGCGGCAUGCCUUACACAUGCAAGUCGAACGGCAGCACGGGAGCAAUCCUGGUGGCGAGUGGCGAACGGGUGAGUAAUAUAUCGGAACGUGCCCAGUCGUGGGGAUAACGUAGCGAAAGCUACGCUAAUACCGCAUACGAUCUAUGGAUGAAAGCGGGGGAUCGCAAGACCUCGCGCGAUUGGAGCGGCCGAUAUCAGAUUAGGUAGUUGGUGAGGUAAAGGCUCACCAAGCCGACGAUCUGUAGCUGGUCUGAGAGGACGACCAGCCACACUGGGACUGAGACACGGCCCAGACUCCUACGGGAGGCAGCAGUGGGGAAUUUUUGGACAAUGGGCGCAAGCCUGAUCCAGCAAUGCCGCGUGCAGGAUGAAGGCCU
rnacentral:rRNA from 1 species